rnacentral:rRNA from 1 species
AUGUUCUUCGACCCAACAAACACUCUUCAGUUGGAAGCGAUAACGGUGUGGUUCCAGGAGGCUGAAGAAAGAAUUAAACAACUUCCAAACCCAACAAACUGGCCAGACUUCAACGUGGCCUCGUGGAACAAGAAGACAAUCAAAGGGCUGCCAACCCAGAAAGACGGGAGCUCUUGUGGACUCUACCUUCUCAAGUACAUAAUGCUUUGGACGGGAUCCAAACUAUCCAAAACAUUUUCAAAGAAAGAUAUAGAUAUGUAUAGGAGACAACUUGCACAUGACAUACUCAACAGUGACAGAAAUUCACUCCGAAAAAACCAGCAGCCAGACCAGACAAAGGCAAUUUCUGAAGAUGGAGUUUCUACCAAAAAAAGAAAGAGGUCCAGGACGAGCACCAGGAAUAUAUCUACACAGUAG